UAGCUCUUGGAAACGGUGGUAAUGCUGAUGCUCAACUUGACGCAUGUCUUUGUUGGAAAGUGUUUAGUGGCAUGGGAUGGGGUCGCGUCCUAUCAGCUUGUAGGCGGGGUAAUGGCCCACCUAGGCUUCGACGGGUAGCCGGCCUGAGAGGGCGGACGGCCACAUUGGGACUGAGAUACGGCCCAGACUCCUACGGGAGGCAGCAGUGGGGAAUAUUGCGCAAUGGGGGAAACCCUGACGCAGCGACGCCGCGUGCGGGAUGAAGGCCUUCGGGUUGUAAACCGCUUUUGAUUGGGAGCAAGCCUUUUGGGUGAGUGUACCUUUCGAAUAAGCGCCGGCUAACUACGUGCCAGCAGCCGCGGUAAAU
rnacentral:rRNA from 1 species